GGAUUGUAGCUCAGUGGUAGAGCACUUGCCUUGCAUGCAUGAGGCCCUGAGUUCCAUCCUCAGCACCA
rnacentral:tRNA from 1 species